AUUGAACGCUGGCGGCAGGCCUAACACAUGCAAGUCGAGCGAGCGGCGGAGGGGGGAGUAAUAUAUGUGAGCUUCCCCAUAGAGGGGGAUAACUACUGGAAACGCUAUCUACUACCCCAUACUAUCGUAUAGACCAUAUGGGAUUAGCUAGUAGGUGUGGGAAUGGCUCACCUAGUCGACAAUCCCUAGCUGGUCUGAGAGGAUGAUCAGCAAAACUGGGACGGGGACACGGCCCAGACUCCUACGGAGGCAGCAGUGGGGAAUAUUGCACAAUGGGCGCAAGCCUGAUGCAGCCAUGCAGCGUGUAUGAAGAAGGCCUUAGGGUUGUAAAGUACUGUCAGUCGGGAGGCGUGACCGACAGAAGAAGCACCGGCUAACUCCGUGCCAGCAGCCGCGGUAAUUC
rnacentral:rRNA from 1 species